UUUUUGAACUUUGUUAUAUUUUUGAUCAUGUUGCCCGUGGGGGCAGCUCUGGCUGCUACUGGCCCAAUAAGGGUCUAAUGGGCUCUACUCUGCUGACCAUGGCAUCUUCGAGUGCCCAUCCAUUCCUUGCCUUGUCUUGCCAAUGUUUGUUAAAUAAUUAAUGCCUGCUGCUAUUCUUUCUGCACAGUCGGCCAGGUUUGGCUAAAUAAAUUGUUCAGCACAUAUUAUGGCCUAUUGAAAGAAUUUACAUAACAUUGCCAAAGGAUAUGAAACGGACAAACAGCAUAUGUCCACAGACAGACGCAAUGGCCAGGCUGGUCAUACCAGACAGAAGCUUGCCUGGGCCCAGCCAGCAGCCUUAGGCAUUCCAGGAGAGGCCACAAAGUCAACGGCUACGUAUAAUUUAUAUGCAAAUACACAUGGUGCAAGUCUAAGCACAAGCAAGACGUGCCUCGACACACACACACACACCCACACAAGCCCACACACAUAUGUAGAUAUGUACAUGAAUAAAACAACAAGAGGAAAGAGGGAGGAAUCAAGAUGGAAGGAAUCGCCUUCCAACUAUAACUCCGAAUGUCUAUUAAAAUUUAUUCGAGCAUAAGUACUGAGAAGCGAGAACUGAAAACUGAAGUCAUGGUGUGCCCACUCUCCAAGAAAUAUAAAAUAUAUGCAAAGACCGUUGAGAAUCCAGUCCGAACGAGGGGGGGAAGCUCCAAGGUACUCCUACACGCAGAAAAAGAAGGUCGACACAAGACCAAAGCAAAAUGAAUGCCAUGCGGUGCAGCUGGGGAGGCUAAAAAGUUGUACUAAGAAAAAAUUACAGUUUUACCAAUAAGCAAAUGAUAAUACUUCGCAUACCACCGACCGCUAAACCCACCGAGGGAUCCCAUAAUUUUUGCUAAAUUAAUUAAAAGAGCUAAGCAUUUAAUGUAUAAUAAUGAACAAUAAUCUACUAGGAUUAGAAGUGAUUAGAUUCCUGUGGAGGCCACGCUAAGAAAAAUGGAACAACUUUUAUUUGAUUGCGGUGUACUUUCUACUUCGUUAUAUAGGGGUAUAAACCCAAAGUUCUACUUCAAUAUUUAAUACUAAAUUCAUUAAAUAUU